UCCUGGUUAGAUCAGUUAGUAGAGCGCUCCACUGGAAAUGGAAAUGUUCCUUGUUCGAUGCCAGGACCAGGCG
rnacentral:tRNA from 1 species